rnacentral:rRNA from 1 species
UAGUCCACGCCGUAAACGAUGUCGACUAGCCGUUGGGACCCUUAGAGGUUUUAGUGGCGCAGCUAACGCAUUAAGUCGACCGCCUGGGGAGUACGGCCGCAAGGUUAAAACUCAAAUGAAUUGACGGGGGGCCCGCACAAGCGGUGGAGCAUGUGGUUUAAUUCGAUGCAACGCGAAGAACCUUACCACUCCUUGACAUCCUGCGAACUUUCUGGAAUCAGAUUGGUGCCUUCGGGAGCGCAGAGACAGGUGCUGCAUGGCUGUCGUCAGCUCGUGUUGUGAAAUGUUGGGUUAAGUCCCGUAACGAGCGCAACCCUUGUCCUUAGUUGCCAGCACGUAAUGGUGGGGACUCUAAGGAGACUGCCGGUGACAAACCGGAGGAAGGUGGGGACGACGUCAAGUCAUCAUGGCCCUUACGGAGUGGGCUACACACGUGCUACAAUGGAGAGUACAAAGGGCAGCGAAUCCGCGAGGUGGAGCUAAUCCCAUAAAACUUUUCGUAGUCCGGAUUGGAGUCUGC